rnacentral:lncRNA from 1 species
CAUAUAGCACCCCGAAAAUUUUUGUACUUAUGUGACCCAGAAUCUUAAUCCGCCGUUAAGUAAAUAUUAUUGAGCAACAAAAAAUUCUGUGAAAUGCAUACGUUGAUUAGACAAAUAGAUAAGCUUAAAUGAGUUUAGCUUUAAUGAUCAGUAGUGUAAGUUAUGGUCAAAUCCUGAGAGUGGUUCGUGAAAUAGAUAGGCAUUGUUUUGUUUUUUUUUUUUUUUUUAUCAACAGAUGACGCUGGUAGGUGGCGAAGGAUCUUGCUUAACCAUAUUCCAACAUGCAUUCUCUAGAGAAAUAUCUGUCGACCGGAUGGCCGUGUGGUAAAGCGUUAGUGCAUCUUGGAGUCCAGGUUCAACUCCGGUUCCACACUUCUAGUUUUUCAGGAGGGUUCCAGACUCAGCUGUUGAAUCCUAUCUUUCAAUUUUCCGGUUGUCCCCAUCAUUGGUGUUGGCCAAUCUAUGGUGUACUCCUUGGGUGUAUUCUAAAAGUGACUACCGACAAAUACGGUAUAUCCCAUAUGCGAUAUGGCGGUUUAAUCAAAAACUAACUAGAGAAAUAAAUUAGAAAUGCG